rnacentral:rRNA from 1 species
AUUGAACGCUGGCGGCAGGCUUAACACAUGCAAGUCGAGCGCGGUGAUGGUGCUUGCACUAUCACUUAGCGGCGGACGGGUGAGUAAUGCUUAGGAAUCUGCCUAUUAGUGGGGGACAACAUCUCGAUAGGGAUGCUAAUACCGCAUACGUCCUACGGAAGAAAGCAGGGGAUCACUUAUGACCUUGCGCUAAUAGAUGAGCCUAAGUCGGAUUAGCUAGUUGGUGGGGUACAGGCCUACCAAGGCGACGAUCUGUAGCGGGUCUGAGUGGAUGAUCCGCCACACUGGGACUGAGACACGGCCCAGACUCCUACGGGAGGCAGCAGUGGGGAAUAUUGGUCAAUGGGGGGAACCCUGAUCCAGCCAUGCCGCGUGUGUGAAGAAGGCCUUAUGGUUGUAAAGCACUUUAAGCGAGGAGGAGGCUCUUUUGGUUAAUACCCAAGAUGAGUGGACGUUACUCGCAGAAUCAGCACCGGCUAACUCUGUGCCAGACGCCGCCGUAA